GGCUCAGAAUCAACGCUGCGGCGUGCCUAACACAUGCAAGUCGAACGCGAAAGUGGAGCAAUCCAUGAGUAGAGUGGCAAACGGGCGAGUAACGCGUGGGCGACCUACCUCAGAGUGGGGGAUAACCUUCCGAAAGGAGGGCUAAUACCGCAUGACAUACCGUGUUUGGAUACACGGAUAUCAAAGCCGGGGAUCGUAAGACCUGGCGCUUGGAGAGGGGCCCGCGUCCGAUUAGCUAGUUGGUGAGGUAACGGCUCACCAAGGCUCCGAUCGGUAUCCGGCCUGAGAGGGCGGACGGACACACUGGAACUGAGACACGGUCCAGACUCCUACGGGAGGCAGCAGUGGGGAAUUGUUCACAAUGGGCGCAAGCCNAAANACGCAACGCCGCGUGGAGGAUGAAGACUUUNNAGGUCGUGGACUCCUUUCGCCCGAGAUGAAUUCCCGCCGGCCUAAUAUGCCGGCG
rnacentral:rRNA from 1 species